rnacentral:piRNA from 1 species
UAGAAUGUAAAUGGUUUGUCAGGGAUCAA